rfam:Brassica napus, WGS project CCCW01000000 data, contig: 14743
GGAAUAUAAGAACCCGUCUCUUAAUUUUUAACUAAAAAAAUUAAGAACCGGCUCUUAAAACUCUUAUUUAAGAAUCAGUUAUUAGCUUUUUUAGUUAAAAGUUAAGAGACAAGUUCUUAUAUUCC